GAAAAGCGCUCAACUCUCCCCCCCGAAGCCGCGGCGCGCACCCGUCCACGCCGAGCGCGCAGCCUGCCUGGUCCGCUGGGCCCCAGCGCUCUCGGCCCCGCCGCUGCCGGGCAGGGAACCCCAACAGAAGAGGAGGAAGAAAAAGUGAAAGAGCCAGAAUGGAUGGAGGCCAUCAGGAGAACAAGGCCCUCUGAACCAACUAAAUAAGUUGAUCAAGUUCAAGGGAUAUAGCCACUCCCAAGAUGAUAGAAAAACAUGGAGUCAGAAGUUGCCUUUGUAGAAUCACUGUGUGGAGCAGGGCUGGCCACAGUUAACCUAGCCUGCAUCCAGCUUCCUUUGUGCUAAGCCACUGGGCUCUAGGAUUAUUCCGACUGGAAUAAAUUUCUAUGACAAAUAUAUCACCAUCCCCAUGCCUAGCUCCAAUCUAAAGGAUUUUGUUCAUUAAAAUAAAAUUAAAAAAAAUGUGUGCA